rnacentral:rRNA from 1 species
UGAGCAAUCUGCCCUUCUCAUCGGAAUAAGCGUUGGAAACGACGUCUAAUGCCGAAUACGACCUCCUUUCGCAUGAUCGGAGGUGGAAAGCUCCGGCGGAGAAGGAUGAGCUCGCGGCCUAUCAGCUAGUUGGUGAGGUAACGGCCCACCAAGGCGACGACGGGUAGCCGGCCUGAGAGGGUGACCGGCCACACUGGGACUGAGACACGGCCCAGACUCCGUACGGGAGGNAGCG